GUAAAUUAGCCUUGCAUUAAAUGAAUACCAAUGCUUCAGAAUAAGCGAUUUCGGAUAACACGAACAUUUUUUGGACUGCAUUAGUCGUGAUAAAGGCUCCAGUACUGACAAAUGACUUCCCUACCGUUCUCAACCAGCGGGCGACUGUUUGCAUUUAUCCCCCAUGCGGCACUAGCAGUGUUUAGGCUAUUCUCACGCCUCUGGUCAUGUACAUGCAGGCAAGCUUCCGCGCGACCAGCACCUUCGACCACUUCUUGGCUGAGAUCCCCAGGCUAUCAUAGCACAGCCCUGAUUACGUAUCACCACUGUGCUGUGUAUCUUUACUCAAAUUAAUGAGCUUCCGUGCACGCACCGGUGAUAUGGGGCUCGUUGAGUACGGCCCACAUCACACGGUGCCUGCAGUUUCUGAAAGCCCCUCCCCCACUUCAUCCUGUUAUUCUAUGAAACCAGUGCUGCAAUAAGACUGAAUGCCUCCCUCUUCUCCUCGUAUCCAGCAUAAUCCCCUCACCUUUGGAGAAGACCAACACCUAUGCCAGUGCCCGUCACGCUACAUUCGAGAGCGAUCUGUCGACCACAUUAUGAAUUAAAUUUAGGCACCUUGUAACUCUGGUUUUAUCCACUAGGAAGUGCCACAUCAUGCUUGUUUCCAAGCACUGGGAACCAUAUGUCGGCUCUUUUGAAGACUAUGAAGUGAAAAAAGGAAUGUAGACUUUUUUUGUGUAAGGUAACUUGCACUAUAUUACAAUCUCUCAUUUGGACUUGGAACACCGAAAAAUCUUCAGGAAGACACUUAUGUUAAAGCAAACAAUAAAAAAUAAAUAUUCACAUACU